rnacentral:rRNA from 1 species
GAUGAACGCUGGCGGCGUGCCUAAUACAUGCAAGUCGAGCGAACGGACGAGAAGCUUGCUUCUCUGAUGUUAGCGGCGGACGGGUGAGUAACACGUGGAUAACCUACCUAUAAGACUGGGAUAACUUCGGGAAACCGGAGCUAAUACCGGAUAAUAUUUUGAACCGCAUGGUUCAAAAGUGAAAGACGGUCUUGCUGUCACUUAUAGAUGGAUCCGCGCUGCAUUAGCUAGUUGGUAAGGUAACGGCUUACCAAGGCAACGAUGCAUAGCCGACCUGAGAGGGUGAUCGGCCACCUUGGAACUGAGACACGGUCCAGACUCCUACGGGAGGCAGCAGUAGGGAAUCUGCCGCAAUGGGCGAAAGCCUGACGGAGCAACGCCGCGUGAGUGAUGAAGGUCUUCGGAUCGUAAAACUCUGUUAUUAGGGAAGAACAGAUGUGUAAGUAACUGUGCACAUCUUGACGGUACCUAAUCAGAAAGCCACGGCUAACUACGUG